rnacentral:rRNA from 1 species
UUUCAGUUUGCUUGCAAACUGGAGAUGGCGACCGGCGCACGGGUGAGUAACACGUAUCCAACCUGCCGAUAACUCGGGGAUAGCCUUUCGAAAGAAAGAUUAAUACCCGAUGGCAUAAUUAGACCGCAUGGUCUUAUUAUUAAAGAAUUUCGGUUAUCGAUGGGGAUGCGUUCCAUUAGGCAGUUGGUGAGGUAACGGCUCACCAAACCUUCGAUGGAUAGGGGUUCUGAGAGGAAGGUCCCCCACAUUGGAACUGAGACACGGUCCAAACUCCUACGGGAGGCAGCAGUGAGGAAUAUUGGUCAAUGGGCGCAGGCCUGAACCAGCCAAGUAGCGUGAAGGAUGACUGCCCUAUGGGUUGUAAACUUCUUUUAUAUGGGAAUAAAGUUUUCCACGUGUGGAAUUUUGUAUGUACCAUAUGAAUAAGGAUCGGCUAACUCCGUGCCAGCAGCCGCGGUAAUACGGAGGAUCCGAGCGUUAUCCGGAUUUAUUGGGUUUAAAGGGAGCGUAGGUGGACAGUUAAGUCAGUUGUGAAAGUUUGCGGCUCAACCGUAAAAUUGCAGUUGAUACUGGCUGUCUUGAGUACAGUAGAGGUGGGCGGAAUUCGUGGUGUAGCGGUGAAAUGCUUAGAUAUCGCGAAGAACUCCGAUUGCGAAGGCAGCUCACUGGACUGCAACUGACACUGAUGCUCGAAAGUGUGGGUAUCAAACAGGAUUAGAUACCCUGGUAGUCCACACAGUAAACGAUGAAUACUCGCUGUUUGCGAUAUACAGUAAGCGGCCAAGCGAAAGCAUUAAGUAUU